rnacentral:rRNA from 1 species
GAGCACAUCUCGCGUGAGGGAUGACGGCCUAUGGGUUGUAAACCUCUUUUUUCAGGGAGGAAUAAAUGACGUGUACCUGAAGAAUAAGCAUCGGCUAACUCCGUGCCAGCAGCCGCGGUAAGACGGAGGAUGCAAGUGUUAUCCGGAAUCACUGGGCGUAAAGCGUCUGUAGGUGGUUUGAUAAGUCAACUGUUAAAUCUUGAAGCUCAACUUCAAAAUCGCAGUCGAAACUAUCAGACUAUAGUAUAGUAGGGGUAAAGGGAAUUUCCAGUGGAGCGGUGAAAUGCGUAGAUCUUGGAAAGAACACCGAUGGCGAAGGCACUUUACUGGGCUAUUACUGACACUCAGAGACGAAAGCUAGGGUAGCAAAUGGGAUUAGAUACCCCAGUAGUCCUAGCCGUAAACCAUGGAUACUAGAUGUUGAACAGAUCGACCUGUGCAGUAUUAAAGCUAACGCGUUAAGUAUCCCGCCUGGGAAGUAUGCUCGCAAGAGUGAAACUCAAAGAAUUUGACGG